CCUACGGGAGGCAGCAGUGAGGGAUAUUGGUCAAUGGGGGAAACCCUGAACCAGCAACGCCGCGUGAGUGAAGACGGUUUUCGGAUUGUAAACCUCUGUCCUCUGUGAAGAUAAUGACUGUAGGAGAGUAUGAACCUCCCGCUAACAACGUGCCAGAAGCCGCGGGAUUACGUAGGGAGCAAGCGUUGUCCGGAUUUACUGGGUGUAAAGGGAUCGGAGGCGGGCCUGCAAGUCAGAAGUGAAAUCCAUGGGCUUAACCCGUGAACUGCUUUUGAAACUGUAGGGCUUGAGUGAAGUAGAGGCAGGGGGAACUCCAGGUGUAGCGGUGAAAUGCGUAGAGAUCGGGAGGAACACCAGUGGCGAAGGCAGCUUGCUGGGCUGUAACUGACGCUGAGGCACGAAAGCGUGGGUAGCAAACAGGAUUAGAUACCCGUGUAGUC
rnacentral:rRNA from 1 species